AGUUCCAAUACGUGUUGUCUUGCUCCCUAUUGGUUGGAAAAGGUGGACGGAACUGAGGAGCAUCUACACCAACCAAUCAGAACCUGGGAAACACAGAUCACAGUGAGAGUGAUGGCAAAGACUCAGGCGGUAUUGCUUCUUAUAGCAACGAUAUUUCUGUUGUCAUCAUUGAUACCCGUCUCUUAUUGCGCAAAGAAACCGGUUGCAGUGGCCAGAAAA